rnacentral:rRNA from 1 species
AACGAACGCUGGCGGCAGGCCUAACACAUGCAAGUCGAACGCCCCGCAAGGGGAGUGGCAGACGGGUGAGUAACACGUGGGAACAUACCCUUCGGUUCGGAAUAACUCAGGGAAACUUGAGCUAAGACCGGAUACGUCCGCGAGGAGAAAGAUUCAUCGCCGGAGGAUUGGCCCGCGUCCGAUUAGCUAGUUGGUGAGGUAACGGCUCACCAAGGCGACGAUCGGUAGCUGGUCUGAGAGGAUGAUCAGCCACAUUGGGACUGAGACACGGCCCAAACUCCUACGGGAGGCAGCAGUGGGGAAUAUUGGACAAUGGGCGAAAGCCUGAUCCAGCCAUGCCGCGUGAGUGAUGAAGGCCCUAGGGUUGUAAAGCUCUUUCGUCAGGGACGAUAAU